GACGAACGCUGGCGGCGCGCUUAACACAUGCAAGUCGAGCGAAGCGGCGGACGGGUGAGUAACACGUGAGUAACCUGCCUUAGACAUUGGGAUAGCCUCGGGAAACCGGGAUUAAUACCAAAUGGUCUAAGAUGGACUCUCGUCCCAUUAGCUAGUUGGUGAGGUAACGGCCCACCAAGGCGACGAUGGGUAGCCGGCCUGAGAGGGUGAACGGCCACAUUGGAACUGAGAAACGGUCCAAACUCUACGGGAGGCAGCAGUGGGGAAUAUUGCACAAUGGAGGGAACUCUGAUGCAGCGACGCCGCGUGAACGAAGAAGGCUUGCGAGUCGUAAAGUUCUUUUAUCAGGAAAGCGGUACCUGAUGAAUAAGCACCGGCUAACUCCGUGCCAGCAGCCGCGGUAAUAC
rnacentral:rRNA from 1 species